UUAGACAAUGUAAACACCGAUUUCUGAAAUAAAAUGAACUAGUAAAACUAAUUUAAAUCAUGCCUUUGAAGCAUUUAUUGUCUCUUUUAUUGUGGUAAAAUACACAUAACAUAAAGCUUACCGUCAUAACCUUUUUAAAGUAUACAAUUCAGUGGCAUUAAGUACAUUCACAAUGUUGUGCAACCAUCACCACUAUUUCCAGAACUUGUUCAUUCCAAUGCCCAUUAAGCAGUCACUCCCAUUUUCUGCUGCCCUCAGCCCCUGGCAGCAACUAGUCUGUUUUCUGUCUCUAUUAAUUUGCCUGUUCUGGAU
rnacentral:lncRNA from 1 species